GGAAAGAUUUGGAUUUUUGGGAAGUGAACCUAACAAGGACUAGCCUUGCUUCUACGUAUCUCCACUUGGGAUGGAGAAUGAAGGAUCACGUAGUUCUAGCUAGUUAGUAGGGAGAUCUCCUCUUCCUAAGACAUUACCUUUUUUCGGUUUUUUUUUUUGUUUUCAUUCAUUCAUUUUCAACCCUUUUUUUUUACGACACAUUGAAAGUCAUUUCGCCUUAUCGCAAAAUUAAGCUUUAUGAAAAUUUGAGCAAACGCUAUCGAAUUUGUGUGGACUUUAUUAGGCUUGUAACGCAGCUAAGGGCUAGAAGGUAUUGAAAGAAAAGAUAUAAA
rnacentral:lncRNA from 1 species